rnacentral:rRNA from 1 species
UACGAAGGGGGCUAGCGUUGUUCGGAAUUACUGGGCGUAAAGCGCACGUAGGCGGGCGAUUAAGACAGUGGUGAAAUCCCGGAGCUCAACUCCGGAACUGCCUUUGAUACUGGUCGUCUAGAGAUCGGAAGAGGUGAGUGGAAUUCCCAGUGUAGAGGUGAAAUUCGUAGAUAUUGGGAAGAACACCAGUGGCGAAGGCGGCUCACUGGUCCGAUACUGACGCUGAGGUGCGAAAGCGUGGGGAGCAAACAGG